rnacentral:rRNA from 1 species
GGGUUGUGAGGUUAAGCGACUAAGCGUACACGGUGGAUGCCCUGGCAGUCAGAGGCGAUGAAGGGCGUGCUAAUCUGCGAUAAGCGCCGGUAAGGUGAUAUGAACCGUUAUAACCGGCGAUACCCGAAUGGGGAAACCCAGUGUGACUCGUCACACUAUCAUUAACUGAAUCCAUAGGUUAAUGAGGCGAACCGGGGGAACUGAAACAUCUAAGUACCCCGAGGAAAAGAAAUCAACCGAGAUUCCCCCAGUAGCGGCGAGCGAACGGGGAGGAGCCCAGAGCCUGAAUCAGCAUGUGUGUUAGUGGAAGCGUCUGGAAAGGCGCGCGAUACAGGGUGACAGCCCCGUACACAAAAGCGCAUAUGCUGUGAGCUCGAUGAGUAGGGCGGGACACGUGGUAUCCUGUCUGAAUAUGGGGGGACCAUCCUCCAAGGCUAAAUACUCCUGACUGACCGAUAGUGAACCAGUACCGUGAGGGAAAGGCGAAAAGAACCCCGGCGAGGGGAGUGAAAAAGAACCUGAAACCGUGUACGUACAAGCAGUGGGAGCACCCUUUGGGGUGUGACUGCGUACCUUUUGUAUAAUGGGUCAGCGACUUAUAUUCUGUAGCAAGGUUAACCGAAUAGGGGAGCCGGAGGGAAACCGAGUCUUAAUUGGGCGUUAAGUUGCAGGGUAUAGACCCGAAACCCGGUGAUCUAGCCAUGGGCAGGUUGAAGGUUGGGUAACACUAACUGGAGGACCGAACCGACUAAUGUUGAAAAAUUAGCGGAUGACCUGUGGCUGGGGGUGAAAGGCCAAUCAAACCGGGAGAUAGCUGGUUCUCCCCGAAAGCUAUUUAGGUAGCGCCUCGUGAAUUCAUCUCCGGGGGUAGAGCACUGUUUCGGCUAGGGGGCCAUCCCGGCUUACCAACCCGAUGCAAACUGCGAAUACCGGAGAAUGUUAUCACGGGAGACACACGGCGGGUGCUAACGUCCGUCGUGAAGAGGGAAACAACCCAGACCGCCAGCUAAGGUCCCAAAGUCAUGGUUAAGUGGGAAACGAUGUGGGAAGGCCCAGACAGCCAGGAUGUUGGCUUAGAAGCAGCCAUCAUUUAAAGAAAGCGUAAUAGCUCACUGGUCGAGUCGGCCUGCGCGGAAGAUGUAACGGGGCUAAACCAUGCACCGAAGCUGCGGCAGCGACACUGUGUGUUGUUGGGUAGGGGAGCGUUCUGUAAGCCUGUGAAGGUGUGUCGUGAGGCAUGCUGGAGGUAUCAGAAGUGCGAAUGCUGACAUAAGUAACGAUAAAGCGGGUGAAAAGCCCGCUCGCCGGAAGACCAAGGGUUCCUGUCCAACGUUAAUCGGGGCAGGGUGAGUCGACCCCUAAGGCGAGGCCGAAAGGCGUAGUCGAUGGGAAACGGGUUAAUAUUCCCGUACUUGGUGUUACUGCGAAGGGGGGACGGAGAAGGCUAUGUUGGCCGGGCGACGGUUGUCCCGGUUUAAGCGUGUAGGUGUGUGUUCCAGGUAAAUCCGGUUCACUUUAACACUGAGGCGUGACGACGAGGCACUACGGUGCUGAAGCAACAAAUGCCCUGCUUCCAGGAAAAGCCUCUAAGCAUCAGGUAACAUCAAAUCGUACCCCAAACCGACACAGGUGGUCAGGUAGAGAAUACCAAGGCGCUUGAGAGAACUCGGGUGAAGGAACUAGGCAAAAUGGUGCCGUAACUUCGGGAGAAGGCACGCUGACACGUAGGUGAAGUGAUUUACUCAUGGAGCUGAAGUCAGUCGAAGAUACCAGCUGGCUGCAACUGUUUAUUAAAAACACAGCACUGUGCAAACACGAAAGUGGACGUAUACGGUGUGACGCCUGCCCGGUGCCGGAAGGUUAAUUGAUGGGGUCAGCGCAAGCGAAGCUCCUGAUCGAAGCCCCGGUAAACGGCGGCCGUAACUAUAACGGUCCUAAGGUAGCGAAAUUCCUUGUCGGGUAAGUUCCGACCUGCACGAAUGGCGUAAUGAUGGCCAGGCUGUCUCCACCCGAGACUCAGUGAAAUUGAACUCGCUGUGAAGAUGCAGUGUACCCGCGGCAAGACGGAAAGACCCCGUGAACCUUUACUAUAGCUUGACACUGAACAUUGAGCCUUGAUGUGUAGGAUAGGUGGGAGGCUUUGAAGUGUGGACGCCAGUCUGCAUGGAGCCGGCCUUGAAAUACCACCCUUUAAUGUUUGAUGUUCUAACGUGGACCCGUGAUCCGGGUUGCGGACAGUGUCUGGUGGGUAGUUUGACUGGGGCGGUCUCCUCCUAAAGAGUAACGGAGGAGCACGAAGGUUGGCUAAUCCUGGUCGGACAUCAGGAGGUUAGUGCAAUGGCAUAAGCCAGCUUGACUGCGAGCGUGACGGCGCGAGCAGGUGCGAAAGCAGGUCAUAGUGAUCCGGUGGUUCUGAAUGGAAGGGCCAUCGCUCAACGGAUAAAAGGUACUCCGGGGAUAACAGGCUGAUACCGCCCAAGAGUUCAUAUCGACGGCGGUGUUUGGCACCUCGAUGUCGGCUCAUCACAUCCUGGGGCUGAAGUAGGUCCCAAGGGUAUGGCUGUUCGCCAUUUAAAGUGGUACGCGAGCUGGGUUUAGAACGUCGUGAGACAGUUCGGUCCCUAUCUGCCGUGGGCGCUGGAGAACUGAGGGGGGCUGCUCCUAGUACGAGAGGACCGGAGUGGACGCAUCACUGGUGUUCGGGUUGUCAUGCCAAUGGCACUGCCCGGUAGCUAAAUGCGGAAGAGAUAAGUGCUGAAAGCAUCUAAGCACGAAACUUGCCCCGAGAUGAGUUCUCCCUGAGACUUAGAGUCUCCUGAAGGAACGUUGAAGACGACGACGUUGAUAGGCCGGGUGUGUAAGCGCAGCGAUGCGUUGAGCUAACCGGUACUAAUGAACCGUGAGGCUUAACCUUACAACGCCGAAG